rnacentral:rRNA from 1 species
UACGGAGGGUGCAAGCGUUAUCCGGAUUCACUGGGUUUAAAGGGUGCGUAGGCGGAUAGGUAAGUCCGUGGUGAAAUCCUGGAGCUCAACUCCAGAACUGCCUUUGAUACUGGCGAUCUCGAGUCCGGGAGAGGUGAGUGGAACUGCGAGUGUAGAGGUGAAAUUCGUAGAUAUUCGCAAGAACACCAGUGGCGAAGGCGGGUCUCUGGACAGUUCCUGACGCUGAGGCACGAAGGUCAGGGGAGCAAACGGG